rnacentral:rRNA from 1 species
AGUGAACGCUGGCGGUAGGCCUAACACAUGCAAGUCGAACGGCAGCACAGUAAGAGCUUGCUCUUACGGGUGGCGAGUGGCGGACGGGUGAGGAAUACAUCGGAAUCUACUUUUUCGUGGGGGAUAACGUAGGGAAACUUACGCUAAUACCGCAUACGACCUACGGGUGAAAGCAGGGGAUCUUCGGACCUUGCGCGAUUGAAUGAGCCGAUGUCGGAUUAGCUAGUUGGCGGGGUAAAGGCCCACCAAGGCGACGAUCCGUAGCUGGUCUGAGAGGAUGAUCAGCCACACUGGAACUGAGACACGGUCCAGACUCCUACGGGAGGCAGCAGUGGGGAAUAUUGGACAAUGGGCGCAAGCCUGAUCCAGCCAUACCGCGUGGGUGGAGAAGGCCUUCGGGUUGCAAAGCCCUUUUGUUGGGAAAGAAAAGCAGCAGGUUAAUACCCCGCUGUUCUGACGGUACCCAAAGAAUAAGCACCGGCUAACUUCGUG